GAUGAACGCUAGCGACAGGCCUAACACAUGCAAGUCGAGGGGCAGCAUGGUAUCAGCUUGCUGAUACCGAUGGCGACCGGCGCACGGGUGAGUAACGCGUAUGUAAUCUGCCUGUAACAGAGGGAUAACCCGGAGAAAUCCGGCCUAAUACCUCAUAGCACAUAUUAUUCGCAUGAGUUUUAUGUUAAAGAGACUCGGUUACAGAUGAACAUGCGUUCCAUUAGCUUUGGUGGCGGGGUAACGGCCCACCAAGGCAACGAUGGAUAGGGGUUCUGAGAGGAAGGUCCCCCACACUGGUACUGAGACACGGACCAGACUCCUACGGGAGGCAGCAGUGAGGAAUAUUGGUCAAUGGGCGAGAGCCUGAACCAGCCAAGUCGCGUGGAGGAAGACUGCCCUAUGGGUUGUAAACUCCUUUUACCUGGGAAUAACGGGCGCUACGUGUAGCGCUGUGCAUGUACCGGGANAAUAAGCAUCGGCUAAUUCCG
rnacentral:rRNA from 1 species